rnacentral:rRNA from 1 species
UAACUUUUUAAUACCUGUUUUUGGAUUUAGGUGCACUAUAAAAAUACUGCUAUUGAAAAAUAGAGGAAGGCAUGGAUUAUGACAGGUCCUUAUGGUUCUUAUGUUUAGGGCUACACAUGUGUUACAAUGGUCAUUACAAUGGUUUGCUAGUCCGUCAGGAUUUUCCAAUACUUAAAAAUGAUCUUAGUUCGGAUCGAAGUCUGCAAUUCGACUUCGUUAAGCUGGAUUUGAUAGUAAUCACAAAGUAGAGCGUUGUGGUGAAUUUUGCAAUUCUAUUCGUACAAAUUGCCCGUCAAUUCAAGGAAUUUUAGGGUGAACUGAAUUUAGAUUGUUAAUUCUAAUAUUUUUCUAUGGUUCUUUUACUUCCUUCUCUUGUUGUAAAAUCUUUAGUUAAAUAUUAGUUAGACUUCUAAUCUCGUAGCUCUUGAAACUUUGAAUAAGUCGUAACAAAGUCGCUGUACGGGAACGUGCAGCGGGAUGAUACUUUAU